rnacentral:rRNA from 1 species
UACAGAGGUCCCAAGCGUUGUUCGGAUUCACUGGGCGUAAAGGGUGCGUAGGUGGUGAGGUAAGUCGGAUGUGAAAGCUCGGAGCUCAACUCCGAAACUGCAUUCGAUACUGCCGUGCUUGAGGACUGGAGAGGAGACUGGAAUUUACGGUGUAGCGGUGAAAUGCGUAGAUAUCGUAAGGAAGACCAGUGGCGAAGGCGGGUCUCUGGACAGUUCCUGACGCUGAGGCACGAAGGUCAGGGGAGCAAACAGG